UCUGACUUGAGUGCAGAAGGGGAGAGUGGAAUUCCAUGUGUAGCGGUGAAAUGCGUAGAUAUAUGGAGGANCACCAGUGGCGAAAGCGGCUCUCUGGUCUGUCACUGACGCUGAGGCUCGAAAGCGUGGGUAGCGAACAGGAUUAGAUACCCUGGUAGUCCACGCCGUAAACGAUGAGUGCUGGGUGUUAGGCCCUUUCCGGGGCUUAGUGCCGGAGCUAACGCAAUAAGCACUCCGCCUGGGGAGUACGACCGCAAGGUUGAAACUCAAAGGAAUUGACGGGGGCCCGCACAAGCGGUGGAGCAUGUGGUUUAAUUCGAAGCAACGCGAAGAACCUUACCAGGUCUUGACAUCCCGAUGCUAUUCUUAGAGAUAGGAAGUUACUUCGGUACAUCGGAGACAGGUGGUGCAUGGUUGUCGUCAGCUCGUGUCGUGAGAUGUUGGGUUAAGUCCCGCAACGAGCGCAACCCUUAUUGUUAGUUGCCAUCAUUAAGUUGGGCACUCUAGCGAGACUGCCGGUAAUAAACCGGAGGAAGGUGGGGAUGACGUCAAAUCAUCAUGCCCCUUAUGACCUGGGCUACACACGUGCUACAAUGGUCGGUACAACGAGUUGCGAGCCGGUGACGGCAAGCUAAUCUCUGAAAGCCGAUCUCAGUUCGGAUUGGAGGCUGCAACUCGCCUCCAUGAAGUCGGAAUCGCUAGUAAUCGCGGAUCAGCACGCCGCGGUGAAUACGUUCCCGGGCCUUGUACACACCGCCCGUCACACCACGAGAGUUUGUAACACCCGAAGUCGGNGAGGUA
rnacentral:rRNA from 1 species